UACGUAGGUGGCGAGCGUUGUCCGGAUUUAUUGGGCGUAAAGCGCUCGCAGGUGUUUCGAUGCGUCGUGCGUGAAAGACCCCGGCUCAACUGGGGAGGGUCGUGCGAUACGGUCGAACUGGAGGCCAGUAGGGGGAUGCGGAAUUCCGGGUGUAGUGGUGGAAUGCGUAGAGAUCCGGAGGGACACCAGCGGCGAAGGCGGCAUCCUGGACUGGUCCUGACACUCAGGAGCGAAAGCGUGGGGAGCGAUCCGG
rnacentral:rRNA from 1 species